rnacentral:lncRNA from 1 species
AUAUUUAUCCCACUCAUUUAUUCCGUCUAAAUAAUGAGCUUAUUUACUUUUACACAAUAUAAUAAAAAGGAAUAACUGCAUUAAAUCAAACAAUUCACAACUUUUGCAGUAAAACUACAAUAAUCAGAUGAUCUAUUUUUGCAUAAACAAUAAAAUUAUAACUAUCAUCAACUCUUAAUAAAUCCAGCCACCAUAUGAACACUCAUCCGACAAAAAAAAGAAGAAGCAAAAGAUCAAAACUUUUUUGAAAGAUCACAAAUUAAGUUCUGCACGAUCAACUCCUCCAAUAACCUCAGCAACAAAGCUUCUCCACCCAGUAGUCUCAAGCUUCUACCCACGAUCACUCAGAAAUGCCCCAAAAAUCAAUUCUUUUAAACCUGAAAAGAUAAUACUAUUCAAUUCUUGAAAGAAAAACAAAAGAGAGUGAGAAAUUGAUUCUUGACAUGUGUUCCUUUAAACUUGAGCCGCAACUGGGAAAGCAAGUCCACCUAAUACAUUACUGUAAAAGAAACUAAAGUUUAUAUUUUAUGCAAUAAACAAUAUGAUCCUCCCUUCCUAAAUCAGAUUCAAUCUUCCAAAUCCAGACAGGCGCAACUUUUCUACACACAUUCCUGCACUCUAAUCUCAAGACACAAUCAUGAUUAGCGAGAUCCCAAUGUCUUAUUACAUAAAUCAAAUCUUAUUUGAGAGUUGGCAUUUUACUUGAAAUUAAUGAGUGAGAAUGCAAAGAAGCAGAGACAAGAAGCAGAAGAAGCUCCAAAGCAGUUGCUCACAGGCAUUCUGCGCCACUUGUAGGCUCAGCGUGUCUUCUUCUCCGAAGAAGCCGAAGCCACAACGGAUUAAGCUCAGACACUUCAACUUCAUGUCUGUUUUUUAAGAUUGUUGUUCUGUUCAAGUUGUAAUAGAAGGCAGCUUCUACUUGUGCCAGUGCUUGAUGUAAAAUCGCUUCUAGCAUGUGCCCCUGCAUAUCCAAAGGCAUAUCCGAAGGCAGCUUCUUCCUGUCCAUACAAAGUUAUCAAGAAUAUGAUCAACAAAAACGCAUACAAAGAUAUCAAGAAUCUUAUCAACAAAAAUGUGUAUGCAUAUGCUGACUCGUACGAUCUCAAGAAUGAUUUUAUGCACUUUAUCUCAGGUGCUAGCUGUGGAAGAACAUCAAGAACAUAAAAAUUCAAAUACCCUUAUGCUUUCAGCAGCAAAUCAACAGCAUCUCUCAUGCAAUCUGAUCACCAUAUCAACACAAAAUUUUCAUAAUUAUCACUUGUAUGUAUGUAGAUAGAUAUAAUCUUGCAGACACGAGCCUCUCAGACAGACUACUUUUUUUUAGGAAUUAGCUUCUCAUUUGCCUCCAUCAGUGUCAGCAUUGCCAUCAUGUGUAAAACAGACAGCAACUCGAACCACGAAUUCGUUCAUGAAUUUCCUGCUCAUCACAUAUUCAUCAUCAACCUCAAAAAAAUUUCAAGAAUUUCAAAAGCUAAUCAAAAUGCUUUAAAUUCUAACCUGUGUCUCCUNNNN